UUGUAGGAGUUACAGGGAUGUGCCCAAC
rnacentral:piRNA from 1 species